GACAGAGGAUGCAAGCGUUAUCCGGAAUUACUGGGCGUAAAGCGCGCGUAGGUGGUUCGUUAAGUUGGAUGUGAAAUCCCCGGGCUCAACCUGGGAACUGCAUUCAAAACUGACGAGCUAGAGUAUGGUAGAGGGUGGUGGAAUUCCAGGUGUAGCGGUGAAAUGCGUAGAUAUCUGGAGGAACACCGGUGGCGAAGGCGGCAUCCUGGACCGACACUGACACUGAGGAGCGAAAGCCAGGGGAGCAAACGGG
rnacentral:rRNA from 1 species